CAGAAUUCCACUCUCCAUAAUCAGUCUCCUCCUCACAUUGGACAAACAAUCGUGAUCAUACCUUGGGGCCUUUCCACAUCUUAUCCCUUCUGCUUUCUGAAGGACACCCAUAUGUUUCAUUCCCUUCCUGUUUCAGUCCUCAGAUUAAUAUCACCUUAUUAUAAAUAGGGCUUUCUAUGAUCCCUCUCUGUAAAAUAACAACAUUCUCCAACUCGACCUACUCUAUCCCUAUCAUCCUACUUAAUUUUACUUCAAGACACUUAACAUCGAAAUCACAAUACAUUCAAUUGUUUAUUUAUUUAUUGUCUGCUUCCCAACCUUUCCCCACUAGACUAUAAAUAUUGUAUAAAUCUAAGAGCUUCUUUUUUUUUUUUAAUUCAAGUCACUGAUCUCACAGCAUCUAGAAUGGUAUCUGUUACAGAGCUAGAUUCAAACUCCUGAGCUCAAGGGAUCCUCCUACAUCAGCCUCUCUAGUAGCUGAAACUACAGCCAUCCUAAUGGGUGUCAAAGGAUAUCUCAUUAUAGUUUUGAUUUUCAUUUCCCUGAUGGCAAAUGCUGUUGAGUAUAUUUUCGCGUCCUUAUUAGCCAUCUAUAUCUCUUUGUAGUUAGCUGCCAUCCUACUGAGGAAAAAGACAUCAUUCUAAUGUACUGUAAUAAAUUCUGAUCAUGAAAUCAGCCCAUUAGGAAGCACCUCUUGGAGAUCAUGGAUAACAUGCUAGGAAAAUGCAUCCUUUUUUAGUGGGCUUAUCAAAAAUAGUGAUGACGUACAUCUUGCCAAACCUAUUGCAACCUCCCCUUAGCAAGAACAUGUGAAAUGUUUUCAACUGGGAAGUCGGAUACAGAAGCAUCAUCCACAGUUUUUAUUGGGCCGAGUCAAAUAGGGGGCCUCUACCUGGUUGAAUUAUUAAGGGAUAAUUGAUCAUGUCUGUAACUUGCUCUCAAAUGGUUCAGCCAAAUGUCAGAAAUGUCAGAGAGACAGAGAGAAGGAGACAGGAGGAAGGGAGAGAGAAAGAGAAAAAGAGAAGAUAUAGUAAAGGUGGCAAAAUGAUGAAAAUUGGCAAAUGUACGUAAAGGCAUACAGAACUUCGAUGAACGAUUCUUGCAACCUUUAUAUAAUUCUGAAGGCUUUUAAAAAAAUGGCAAGCUUUCAAAUAAAAGCAAUUUAGGAAUUGUU
rnacentral:lncRNA from 1 species